AACAUGUGAAUUGGAGGCGUGGCUUCUUUGAUGGACUCACCCAGACGCGACUGCCGAACUUUGAACUUUAACUUUGUUUACGACGCGAGUUCAUGAAAUGGAGUCUGAAAAUUGGUAGACAUUUUAACGAACUUUCAACAGAAAGGAACAUCGAAAUGAGUGCAUACUAUUGCAAAUUAACUUCGUGUAGAUAUUUUUUCCAUUUUGGUGCCCAACUCAUCUCCAGAUUUUAGAUGAGAAAGGAACAGAGAAUAAAAGCUUUAUUCUUCCGAAACCGAGUCAACAAUUGAAUUUUGAUAACGGUACAGGAAUGCGCUUUGAAGCACAGGCAGUGAGGGACUGUCUGCAGCAAGGUUUGAAGGAGCACUCUUUGGUGACACAUGAAGACUCAUUCAAGUUUGCCACCAUCUUGGAUCAGGCUAGGCACAGCUUAGGCUACUUUCACGACAAAGAACUUGCGAAGUGAUCAGCUCGCUUAGUAACUCUCUACUUAAUCUCAUGAUAAUGUUAAUUUACAUCUCUCAAGUUGUGUGCUUUCAUAUGCUUUGUCCACUUGGCCUUGUCACUGAUAAAAAAUUGUUAUAGAAACAGAGAAAUUAAUGGUUAAUUAUCAAGGUUUAUUAUGGUGCCAGUGAAUUAUUCCAUGGAAAAGUUUGGAAAAUAUUUGAUUAUAUAAUAUUGUAAUGAGUUAUUUGUAGUGCUUUCAAUGAUUCUACCCUUGGUCAUUCGAUCUAUUCUCAAUGUGCAACCACUUUUCCUUUCUCUGACAUAUAUAAAGUCAUGCCUCAGUGCAGUGUGAUACAAUACCUUUGAGAUCUGAUACCCAUUGAAACUCUUGGAAGGUGAGCAUCUGUCUUAUAUUGCUUUGAUGUCCUUGCAUUUGAAAGUCAUUUUUUAUGAAACACGCAUUUUGCAAAAUCUAUGCGUGAUCAUCAAUUUAUUAAACAUUCAUUAUAAAACCAUUUACAUUUCAAUUACCAAAAAAAAAUACCAUGGACAAUACAUGAAAUUGUCCUGUUUCAAACACCACAAUUGUAUUUGCUCAAGAUGCCCAGUAUCAGCAUCUACCAUGUUUUUUUUUCAAUUCCUACACUUUGACCCAGCUCGGACAUUUUCCUUGUGAUUGGUGCUGCCCACCAAAGUCCACCCAUAAAUAUUUUCAUGUCACACAUUCAUAUUUACUGAGGUUGGUAACUAUGGGAGAGAGACAGACAGACAAACAAACACAUAGAUGAAGAGACAAGCGAAACAGACAUCAUAAGACCUCAAGGUCAAGGGGCACAAACACACCUGUUGCACCAGUUGCGUUGUGUAAUUCAGGUUGUAUUAUUAUCUCCAUUAAAAAUAUAUAUGUAA